rnacentral:snoRNA from 1 species
AAAGCAUCUAAAUCCAAGUGCUGUCACUUCUCACAGCAGUGACUUAAACAGAUGUGCUGACAGCAAGCAAUCUUCUUGCCUUAGGAAGGCAGGACCUCAAAGAAAAUUUGGGGAUUCUACAUCC